rnacentral:ncRNA from 2 species
GGCCGCUCGGAUCGCGCCGGUGCCUCGCCAGAGGCUUAAAAGGGAACGCGGUGCGGGCGGAGCGAUCCGUCCCAUUCCGCGGCUGUCCCUGCAACUGUGAGCGGCGAACGAGAUGCGCAGGCGGACGGGUUUUCCGUUUCGCCAGCCACUGGGCCAAUGCCUGGGAAGGCCGUGCAUCGAGUCUUGACCCGCGAGCCAGGAGACCUGCCGGCGUCCGGUCGCUCUU